GGUUGUGGCUCAGUGGUAGAUCGAGUGCUUGCCUGGCACGUGUGAGGUCCUGGGUUCAAUUCUCAGCACCA
rnacentral:tRNA from 1 species